rnacentral:rRNA from 1 species
AACAGGAUUAGAUACCCUGGUAGUCCACGCCCUAAACGAUGUCUACUAGUUGUCGGGUUUUAAUUAACUUGGUAACGCAGCUAACGCGUGAAGUAGACCGCCUGGGGAGUACGGUCGCAAGAUUAAAACUCAAGGGAAUUGACGGGGACCCGCACAAGCGGUGGAUGAUGUGGAUUAAUUCGAUGCAACGCGAAAAACCUUACCUACCCUUGACAUGUACGGAAGCUUGGAGAGAUCUGAGUGUGCUCGAAAGAGAGCCGUAACACAGGUGCUGCAUGGCUGUCGUCAGCUCGUGUCGUGAGAUGUUGGGUUAAGUCCCGCAACGAGCGCAACCCUUGUCAUUAGUUGCUACGAAAGGGCACUCUAAUGAGACUGCCGGUGACAAACCGGAGGAAGGUGGGGAUGACGUCAAGUCCUCAUGGCCCUUAUGGGUAGGGCUUCACACGUCAUACAAUGGUACAUACAGAGGGCCGCCAACCCGCGAGGGGGAGCUAAUCCCAGAAAGUGUAUCGUAGUCCGGAUUGUAGUCUGCAACUCGACUACAUGAAGUUGGAAUCGCUAGUAAUCGCGGAUCAGCAUGUCGCGGUGAAUACGUUCCCGGGUCUUGUACACACCGCCCGUCACACCAUGGGAGCGGGUUUUACCAGAAGUAGGUAGCUUAACCGCAAGGGGGGCGCUUACCACGGUAGGAUUCGUGACUGGGGUGAAGUCGUAACAAGGUAACC